CUGAAGGCGCAGGCCGGAGCCCCUCCCUCCAUGCACUCCCCCAAACCCCGACCCCAGGGUCUGCACCCAGGAUGGCGAGCCCGGCGUGGGAGGAGUGGGAAACAGAGGAUGCGGGGACCGCGCGGAGGAGGCAGGGGGAGGAGGCGACGUCCCGCACUGUCUCACCGCAGGACCGACCUCGGCGCUUAUCUGCUCGGGCAGCUUCCGCCCCCCCAGCCCAGCCCCCCGCCGCAAGCCGGGCCCCCGCCCCCCGCCUCCGGAGCGCCCGCCGGGUGGCGGGGAGGGGCCCUCCCCCGUCGCCCGCCCCUAGGGAGCACCGAGCUGCAGCGGGCCGCUGCCCGGCCAAGCGGAGAGGAGCCCGGCCCCCAGAAGAGGAGGCACACGCGUUCGGUGACCGUCUGAGGGAUGCUCCCGCUCAUUGGUGUUGAAGGAACCACGAGGACGACCAGGGGGUACAGAUCUGUGAUUCAUCAGUCUAACACAAUUCACAGGGCUCACCAUACCUUCCCCAGUGUCCAUCAUCCAGCGACCCCAUUCCCUCCCCCGAGCAAUCCUCAAUUUGUUUCCUGAGAUUAAAAGUCUCUCAUGGUUUGUCUCCCUCUCUGAUUUCGUCUUGUUUCAUUUUUUCCCUAUAGCAAAAGUCUCAAAGUCACCCAAAAGUCCACCAACAAGAGAUUGGGCUAAUAAAUUCCAGUGGAUCCGUCCACACAUGGUUCAGCAGUUCCAAAUGAACCAAUUUCACAUAAUAACAUGAAUGAAUCUUACUUGAUUCAUUGCCUUGAGUGAAAAAGCCAGUUCCAGAAAACAAAUACUUGCCCUUCCUGUGAAGUUCAAAAUCCAGCCAAACCGUAUCUCUGCAAAUAGCAAGAAGCCCACAGGGCAGGUGGGAAUGCAGGAGACCGGGCUAAGAACCCCAAAGACACACAACACUGAGAGCCUUCAGCCUGGACAGAUUCAGAAAGCUUCAGGGAGGAGCAGGCUUGUAAACGUGCUAGAUUUCAAUCAAUAGACAGCAGAAGGGGAAGAACAUGCCAGGCCCGCCAGGGGAUGGGAAAGGGGUUGUAAAGGGGGUUAUAAAGGCAGAGAGGCCGGACAGAAAGUAGUGAGGCUUGGCUGCGCAUGGGCUGCCUGGGAAGGGUUGCUAGGGGAUAGGGGGGUUGCUAUGGAAUUGCUGGGGCCUCAUCUGGCCAGGGCUCAGGAUUCGGAGUAGCUAAGGCUACUCUAGGAAGAAUGACUUGAGAGAGGGUUAAGGUCAGGGGUACCCCAGAGGGAGGCCUGGUAUGGAGAGGUGGAGCCUGAAUCCAUUGUAAGAGCAUCCUUAUUUCAGCUGUGACCUUGGGCAAGGUGAUCCCGGCCCUGAACCUCAGAUGCCUUUUUACCGAGGUUGCUGCCCGCCAGUGGACUCCAUGGAAAGCCCUGAGAAGGAGGCCCACAUUCUGGAAGCAGAGAAAAUGUGCAUCAACCCCCAGCCUAGCGCAUCUAGCACUGCACUCCUGGAGGAGGGUAGGCUUCAUGCCCAAGUGGAGCCCAACGUGGGACUUGAACUCACAACCCUGAGAUCAAGACCAGAGCUAAGAUCAAGAGUCAAACGCUCAACUGACUGAGCCAACCAGACACCCCCUUUUUGUUAUUGUUUUAAAAUAAUAGAUUGGGGCACCUGGGUGACUCAGUAGGUUGGGUGUCUGCCUUCAGCCCAGGUCAUGAUCUCAGAGUCCUGGGAUGGAGCCCCACAUCUGCUCUGCAGGGAGCCUGCUCUCUCUCUCUCUCUGUCUACCCCUCUGCCUACUUGUGCUCUCUCUCUCUCUCUCUCUGUCAAAUAAAUAAAUAAAAUAUUUUUUAAAAAUAGUAGAUCAUGUUAAAUAAAUCAUUUCUGCACAUUUCUUUUCUCAUUCAUCUUGACUUGGAAUCCUCUGGCAGAUCUAAUUCACUGUUCCACACACCAGGCCACCCACCAUGUCUUCCUAUCUGGUCCUCCCUGCUCGAGGUCCUCCUCUAGAGUCCCCCAAUGUGCCCCUUUCUUGACUCUAUUAGGGCAGG